rnacentral:rRNA from 1 species
UGGGGAAUAUUGCACAAUGGGCGAAAGCCUGAUGCAGCGACGCCGCGUGCGGGAUGAAGGCCUUCGGGUUGUAAACCGCUUUUGAUUGGGAGCAAGCGAGAGUGAGUGUACCUUUCGAAUAAGCACCGGCUAACUACGUGCCAGCAGCCGCGGUAAUACGUAGGGUGCAAGCGUUAUCCGGAAUUAUUGGGCGUAAAGAGCUCGUAGGCGGUUUGUCGCGUCUGGUGUGAAAGUCCAUCGCUUAACGGUGGAUCUGCGCCGGGUACGGGCAGGCUAGAGUGCGACAGGGGAGACUGGAAUUCCCGGUGUAACGGUGGAAUGUGUAGAUAUCGGGAAGAACACCAAUGGCGAAGGCAGGUCUCUGGGUCGUCACUGACGCUGAGGAGCGAAAGCGUGGGGAGCGAACAGGAUUAGAUACCCUGGUAGUCCACGCCGUAAACGGUGGAUGCUGGAUGUGGGGCCCCAUUCCACGGGUUCCGUGUCGGAGCUAACGCGUUAAGCAUCCCGCCUGGGGAGUACGGCCGCAAGGCU